GACAGAGGUCCCGAGCGUUAGGCGGAAUCACUGGGCUUAAAGCGUGUGUAGGCGGCGGCCUAAGUACCUUGUGAAAUCCCACGGCUCACCCGUGGAACUGCUCGGUAUACUGGGUCGCUUGAGCCACUUAGGGGCUACCGGAACAAAUGGUGGAGCGGUGAAAUGCGUAGAUAUUCGGAAGAACACCAGUGGCGAAGGCGGCUCACUGGACUGGUAUUGACGCUGAGGUGCGAAAGCGUGGGGAGCAAACAGG
rnacentral:rRNA from 1 species